CUACGGGUAACCACAGUUUGAUAUUAAUUAGUAUUGUAAUUUUCAUUGUUAUUAAUAAAUGUUUUAUCAGUAUUACAAAUCUAAUCUUGAAUUCUAUCCUAAUUCUAUCUUAUUUUUGGGAAUUGUUUUUUUGAAAAUCAAAUGUGACGUCACUUUGUUCGUUUAUGGCUUUGGCUAACUCGGCUGUGGAUUUUUAUGUGCUGAUUUAUGUUGUUUUAUGUCAUUGUUCCGUUUUUUAUUCUGUAGUUAGUCACCACUUCGGUUUUAUCAUGUAUAUCUAUUAUAUAGUUAAUUUAUAAAAAAAAAUACUGUUUGCAAAAGUAUGAAUUAUUCUUAACAAUAAGGAUGUUAUUAUCCAAGGCAGAAAACCCUAGGCACAACUUUUCUGAACUUUUGGUCUCUAAAUGCUCUUCAAAUUUGAACUUGUUCUGGCUGUCGAUUUUUUUUCAUCUGAGCGUCACUGGUUAGUCUUUUGUGGACGAAACGCGCGUCUGGCAUAUUUAAUUUUAAACCUGGUACCUUUUGUUAGAUAUUAUUCGUGUGUUUCUCUGUCCUAUAUGUUCUCCCAUUUAUUUGUAUUGUAGUCCUGUCAUGUAAUGUUGCCAUUUGAAUGUUAUAUUUAACGUUGCCAUAAAAGCGGGAGGUUUGGCAUGCAACAAAACCAGGUUUAACCCACCAUUUUUCCUUAAAAUGUUCUGUACCAAGUCAGAAAAAUGGGCAUUGUUAUAUUGUAGGUCGUUUCUGUGUGCGUUUCAUUUUAAUGGUGUAUUUCUGCUGUGUCGUAGUGUUUAUUUUCUCAAUCGAUUUAUGAAUUUAGAACAGCGGUAUACUACUGUUGCCUUCAUUUAUCAACUGUAUAUUACUACCAAAUAAUGAUGGCGGUUGUAAAUACUAAAGACACAUUUGGUAUAGAACGUAUCUUUCAUCGAAAAUAGUAACUUGAAAAUAUAUUAGCUUAUAUAUUUUCAAAUGAA
rnacentral:lncRNA from 1 species